ACACGCUCAACUGACAUCAGCGGUGAGUCGGAACAAACCUUUCGUUUUCCCCCCUCCAACCCUCUCUCUCUCUCUCUCUCUCUCUCUCUUGCCAUAACAAAUUUUUUAGAGAGAGAAAGUAAACCAGAGGUUAGAGAGAGAGAGAAGAGAAUGAGGAUCGAAGACCAGGGUGAUCAAGUCUCUGAAUCAAGAAACCAUCUCGUUUUUGCUUACUAUGUCACUGGUCAUGGCUUCGGCCAUGCCACUCGUGUUGUUGAGGUUGUUCGGCACCUCAUUGUUGCUGGGCAUGAUGUUCAUGUGGUCACUGGUGCACCUGACUUCGUCUUUACAACUGAAAUACAGUCUCCUCGGCUUUUCCUCCGCAAGGUACUACUAGACUGUGGAGCGGUUCAAGCAGAUGCUUUGACAGUGGAUCGCCUUGCGUCUUUGGAGAAGUAUUCAGAGACAGCUGUAGCACCCCGGGCUUCUAUUUUGGCAAUGGAAGUAGAGUGGCUGAACUCCAUCAAGGCUGAUUUAGUGGUUUCAGAUGUUGUUCCAGUUGCAUGCAGGGCAGCAGCUGAUGCAGGAAUUCGUUCUGUUUGUGUCACCAACUUCAGUUGGGACUUCAUCUAUGCAGAGUAUGUGAUGGCAGCCGGUAUUCAUCACAGGUCAAUAGUUUGGCAGAUAGCAGAGGAUUAUUCUCACUGUGAGUUCCUAAUCCGUCUCCCAGGAUACUGCCCAAUGCCUGCUUUUCGAGAUGUGAUUGAUGUACCUUUAGUUGUAAGGAGGUUGCACAAAUCUCGCAAGGAGGUGAGGAAGAAUCUCAAGAUUGGGGAUGAUGUGAAGGUUGUUAUACUAAAUUUUGGGGGACAGCCGUCAGGUUGGAAGUUAAAGGAAGAGUACUUACCUUCUGGUUGGCUCUGCUUGGUUUGUGGUGCAUCUACAAACCAGGAGCUUCCUCCAAAUUUCUUAAGGCUUGCAAAAGAUGUUUAUACUCCUGAUGUUAUGGCAGCAUCUGACUGUAUGCUUGGAAAAAUUGGAUAUGGCACUGUCAGUGAAGCCUUGGCAUACAAGUUACCUUUUGUUUUUGUACGCAGAGAUUACUUCAAUGAAGAACCAUUUUUGAGAAAUAUGCUUGAGUACUAUCAAGGUGGCGUUGAGAUGAUUAGGAGGGAUUUACUCACUGGGCACUGGAAGCCUUAUCUUGAACGUGCAGUUAGUUUGAAACCAUGCUAUGAGGGAGGCAUUAACGGUGGUGAGGUUGCAGCCCGCAUUUUGCAAGAUACAGCUAUUGGAAAGAACUAUGCUUCAGAUAAGCUUAGUGGGGCUAGAAGAUUGCGUGAUGCCAUAGUUCUUGGAUAUCAACUACAAAGAGUUCCCGGAAGAGAUCUCUGCAUCCCAGAUUGGUAUGCAAAUGCUGAAAAUGAAUUUGGGCUUCGCACUGGGUCACCAACUUCUGAAAUGACUGAGAAUAGCUUCCUUAUGCAUUCAUACACUAAGGACUUUGAAAUUCUCGAUGGAGAUCUACAGGGUCUUUCGGAUACAAUGAGUUUCCUGAAGAGCUUGGCAGAACUAGAUACUUUAUAUGAUUCUGGAAAAAGUACUGAGAAGCGCCGGAUGCGGGAAUGCAUUGCUGCUGCGGGUAUCUUCAAUUGGGAGGAAGAAAUCUUUGUUUCAAGAGCUCCUGGAAGAUUGGAUGUAAUGGGAGGAAUAGCUGACUAUUCUGGAAGCCUAGUCUUGCAGAUGCCUAUUAGAGAAGCCUGCCAUGUUGCUGUGCAAAAGAAUCAUCCCAGUAAACAAAGGCUUUGGAAACAUGCCCAGGCUCGACAGCAUGUCAAAGGGCAAGGACCAACACCCGUUCUACAAAUUGUAUCAUAUGGCUCAGAAUUGAGCAACCGUGGUCCGACGUUUGACAUGGAUUUAUCUGAUUUUAUGGAUGGAGAGCAGCCCAUGACAUAUGAAAAGGCAAAACAGUACUUUGCCCAAGAUCCAUCCCAGAGAUGGGCAGCGUAUGUGGCGGGGACAAUUCUGGUUUUAAUGACAGAACUAGGCGUACGCUUUGAGAACAGUAUCAGCAUGCUGGUUUCUUCUGCUGUUCCAGAAGGCAAAGGUGUAUCUUCUUCUGCUUCCGUGGAGGUUGCUAGCAUGUCUGCUAUAGCUGCGGCUCAUGGAUUGGAUAUAAGCCCGAGGGAGCUUGCUUUGCUCUGCCAAAAGGUAGAGAAUCACAUUGUUGGAGCUCCAUGUGGUGUAAUGGACCAGAUGACUUCAGCAUGUGGUGAAGCCAACAAACUUCUUGCAAUGAUUUGCCAGCCUGCUGAGAUAGUAGGGCUUGUGGAUAUUCCUACUCAUAUACGAGUUUGGGGAAUUGAUUCUGGAAUACGACACAGUGUUGGUGGUGCAGACUACGGAUCUGUGAGAGUGGGUGCCUUUAUGGGUCGAAAGAUGAUAAAGUCUAUUGCAUCUACGAUGUUGUCACGAUUAUUGUCAGGUGAAAAUGGGAUGAACCCGGGCGAAAUGGAUGAGGAUGGUGCUGAACUACUUGAAAAGGAAUCUUCAUUGGAUUACUUGUGCAACCUGUCACCUCACAGAUAUGAAGCUCUUUAUGGUAAGUUUCUUCCUGAUUCUAUACAUGGUGAGACAUUUUUGGAAAAACAUGAGGAUCAUAAUGAUCCAGUCACUGUCAUUGAUCACAAGCGUGGUUAUGGAGUGAAGGCAGCUGCUAGACAUCCCAUUUAUGAAAAUUUCAGGGUCAAGGCCUUCAAAGCGCUACUAACAUCUGCAUCAUCAGAUGAACAACUUAGCACUCUUGGAGAAUUAUUGUAUCAGUGCCACUACAGUUAUAGUGCUUGUGGACUUGGCUCGGAUGGGACAGACAGGCUUGUCCAUUUGGUGCAGGAAAUGCAACACAGUAGAUUGUCUAAAGCUGAAGAUGGAACUCUAUAUGGAGCAAAGAUUACCGGUGGUGGUUCUGGUGGAACAGUUUGUGUCAUUGGCAGGAAUUGUCUACGGAGCAGCCAACAAAUUUUCGAGAUUCAGCAAAGAUACAAAGGUGCCACAGGAUAUCAUCCGUUUCUUUUCGAGGGUUCAUCACCAGGUGCGGGAAAGUUCGGGUAUCUGAGAAUUCGUCGCCGCAUCCCUGCCGAACGACGUUAGUUUAUUCGUGCAAGACAUGUGGCUAAGUUGUUCUUCAGGGAAAUUGUCGGUUCUUUUCCAAUUCCAAAUGCAAGAUGUUGAGGCAGGAAAGCAAAAAAGCUCCGUAUUAGUACUAGACCAAAUGUAGUAGGAUUUAUUUGCAUAUUGCAAUGUAAUAAAUGUUCUUGUACAGUAACUUUUGUGGUUCUUUUUUUUAAUUCUUUUGUAUUGCUAAGAAAAUCAUUUCGACACCAUAAGAUUAAAUUUAUAUUACAUUGCACCACAAUGAUAUGUACAAGAAGAUACAGAAAGAAUGAAGGAUGGUGCAGGUGGUAUUUUGCUGAUA